rnacentral:rRNA from 1 species
GUCCACGCCGUAAACGAUGGGUACUAGGCGCCGGGGAGCGACCCCUUCGGUGCCGUCGCUAACGCAAUAAGUACCCCGCCUGGGGAGUACGGCCGCAAGGCUGAAACUCAAAGCAAUUGACGGGGCCCGCACAAGCGGUGGAGCAUGUGGUUUAAUUCGAAGCAACGCGAAGAACCUUACCUGGGCUUGACAUGCACGGGAAAGCCGGUGGAAACAUCGGCCCCUCUUCGGAGUCCGUGCACAGGUGCUGCAUGGCUGUCGU